rnacentral:rRNA from 1 species
CCUACGGGGGGCUGCAGUGUGGAAUAUUGCACAAUGGGGGAAACCCUGAUGCAGCAACGCCGCGUGAGCGAUGAAGGCCUUCGGGUCGUAAAGCUCUGUCCUUAGGGAAGAAUACUGACGGUACCUUAGGAGUAAGCCCCGGCUAACUACUUGCCAGCAGCCGCGGUAAUACGGAGGGGGAGAGCGUUAUCGGGAAUUGCUGGGAGGAACGGGUGCGUAGGCGGCCCGUCAAGUGAGGGGUGGUAGGCUACGGCUCAAACGUAGUAAGCCUUUGAAACUGUAGGGCUUGAGUGCAGGAGAGGAGGGUGGAAUUCCCAGUGUAGCGGUGAAAUGCGUAGAUAUUGGGAUGACCACCAGUUGAGAAGGCGGCUCUCUGGACUGUAACUGACGCUGAGGCACGAAAGCGUGGGGAGCGAACAGGAUUAGAUACCCUGGUAGUC